CCUACGGGAGGCAGCAGUGGGGAAUAUUGCACAAUGGGGGAAACCCUGAUGCAGCGACGCCGCGUGAGUGAAGAAGUAUUUCGGUACGUAAAGCUCUAUCAGAAGGGAAGAAAAUGACGGUACCUGACUAAGAAGCCCCGGCUAACUACGUACCAGCAACCUCGGUAAUACGUAGGGGGCAAGCGUUAUCCGGAUUUACUGGGUGUAAAGGGAGCGUAGACGGCCGCGCAAGUCUGGAGUGAAAUCCCAUGGCUUAACCAUGGAACUGCUGUGGAAACUGUGCAGCUAGAGUGCAGGAGAGGUAAGCGGAAUGCCUAGUGUAGCGGUGAAAUGCGUAGAUAUUAGGAGGAACACCAGUGGCGAAGGCGGCUUACUGGACUGUAACUGACGUUGAGGCUCGAAAGCGUGGGGAGCAAACAGGAUUAGAUACCCUUGUAGUC
rnacentral:rRNA from 1 species